rnacentral:lncRNA from 1 species
CAAAAUAUAAGGAAUAUAGCUUUAAAAAUUUGUACAGCUGAGAGAUGCUGGUCUGAGUUCCAGUUAUGCUGCAAUGAUAAAAUGCUUUAAAAGAGACUCCAAUAGACAAUGUUUUGACAGUUCUGAUAUAAUUACCUGCAUGGGCCGGUAGUUAGUUUUAGAACCUUUUUUGUUUUCAAAAGUUCUACAUAAAGUAAGCCUUUCAUAAAAAUUAUUUUUGUGCACAAAAUAUGAAUGUGUCAUAGCAGUAGGAUAUCAUGCUAGUUUAACUAAACUUAACUGCUUGGGCCGUUAAGUCAUUAUUACACAAUGAAUGCUUGAUUUAAUCUCUCAUUCAGAUAUUUGCUUAUAUGUCUUGCUCAUUUAGUUGUUUUUGUUUAGGUGAAAACAGCCUUUUAUUGAAG